rfam:Hordeum vulgare subsp. vulgare, WGS project CAJW01000000 data, contig: morex_contig_70742
GUAAUACUCCCUUCGUCCCGGAUUACUUGUCGGAGGAAAUGGGUGAAAGUUGAUGUAUCUACAAAUAAAUUACGUCUAGAUACAUCCAUUUAUACAACAAGUGAUUCCGUAUGAAGGGAGUAUUUA